rnacentral:rRNA from 1 species
AGAGUUUGAUCCUGGCUCAGGACGAACGCUGGCGGCGCGCCUAACACAUGCAAGUCGAACGAGCGAGAGAGAGCUUGCUUUCUCGAGCGAGUGGCGAACGGGUGAGUAACGCGUGAGGAACCUGCCUCAAAGAGGGGGACAACAGUUGGAAACGACUGCUAAUACCGCAUAAGCCCACAGGUCGGCAUCGACCAGAGGGAAAAGGAGCAAUCCGCUUUGAGAUGGCCUCGCGUCCGAUUAGCUAGUUGGUGAGGUAACGGCCCACCAAGGCAACGAUCGGUAGCCGGACUGAGAGGUUGAACGGCCACAUUGGGACUGAGACACGGCCCAGACUCCUACGGGAGGCAGCAGUGGGGAAUAUUGCACAAUGGGGGAAACCCUGAUGCAGCGACGCCGCGUGGAGGAAGAAGGUCUUCGGAUUGUAAACUCCUGUUGUUGAGGAAGAUAAUGACGGUACUCAACAAGGAAGUGACGGCUAACUACGUGCCAGCAGCCGCGGUAAAACGUAGGUCACAAGCGUUGUCCGGAAUUACUGGGUGUAAAGGGAGCGCAGGCGGGAAGACAAGUUGGAAGUGAAAUCCAUGGGCUCAACCCAUGAACUGCUUUCAAAACUGUUUUUCUUGAGUAGUGCAGAGGUAGGCGGAAUUCCCGGUGUAGCGGUGGAAUGCGUAGAUAUCGGGAGGAACACCAGUGGCGAAGGCGGCCUACUGGGCACCAACUGACGCUGAGGCUCGAAAGUGUGGGUAGCAAACAGGAUUAGAUACCCUGGUAGUCCACACUGUAAACGAUGAUUACUAGGGUGUUGGAGGAUUGACCCCUUCAGUGCCGCAGUUAACACAAUAAGUAAUCCACCUGGGGAGUACGACCGCAAGGUUGAAACUCAAAGGAAUUGACGGGGGCCCGCACAAGCAGUGGAGUAUGUGGUUUAAUUCGACGCAACGCGAAGAACCUUACCAAGUCUUGACAUCCUGCGACGCACAUAGAAAUAUGUGUUUCCUUCGGGACGCAGAGACAGGUGGUGCAUGGUUGUCGUCAGCUCGUGUCGUGAGAUGUUGGGUUAAGUCCCGCAACGAGCGCAACCCUUAUGGUCAGUUACUACGCAAGAGGACUCUGGCCAGACUGCCGUUGACAAAACGGAGGAAGGUGGGGAUGACGUCAAAUCAUCAUGCCCUUUAUGACUUGGGCUACACACGUACUACAAUGGCGUUAAACAAAGAGAAGCAAGACCGCGAGGUGGAGCAAAACUCAGAAACAACGUCCCAGUUCGGACUGCAGGCUGCAACUCGCCUGCACGAAGUCGGAAUUGCUAGUAAUCGCAGAUCAGCAUGCUGCGGUGAAUACGUUCCCGGGCCUUGUACACACCGCCCGUCA